rnacentral:rRNA from 2 species
GGAUCCAGACUCUGAUUCUGGCUCAGGAUGAACGCUAGCUACAGGCUUAACACAUGCAAGUCGAGGGGCAGCGAUGAAGAAAGCUUGCUUUCUUCAGGCGGCGACCGGCGCACGGGUGAGUAACGCGUAUCGAACCUGCCUCAUACUCAGGAAUAGCCUUGCGAAAGUAAGAUUAAUGCCCGAUGUUAUUAGGAUAUCACAUGAUGUUUUAAUUAAAGAUUUAUCGGUAUGAGAUGGCGAUGCGUCCCAUUAGCUUGUUGGCGGGGUAACGGCCCACCAAGGCAUCGAUGGGUAGGGGUUCUGAGAGGAAGGUCCCCCACAUUGGAACUGAGACACGGUCCAAACUCCUACGGGAGGCAGCAGUGAGGAAUAUUGGUCAAUGGACGCAAGUCUGAACCAGCCAAGUAGCGUGCAGGAUGACGGCCCUCUGGGUUGUAAACUGCUUUUAGUUGGGAAUAAAGUGCAUCACGUGUGAUGUUUUGUAUAUACCAUCAGAAAAAGGACCGGCUAAUUCCGUGCCAGCAGCCGCGGUAAUACGGAAGGUCCAGGCGUUAUCCGGAUUUAUUGGGUUUAAAGGGAGCGCAGGCGGACCUUUAAGUCAGCUGUGAAAUACGGCGGCUCAACCGUCGAACUGCAGUUGAUACUGGAGGUCUUGAGUGCACACAGGGAUACUGGAAUUCAUGGUGUAGCGGUGAAAUGCUCAGAUAUCAUGAAGAACUCCGAUCGCGAAGGCAGGUAUCCGGGGUGCAACUGACGCUGAGGCUCGAAAGUGCGGGUAUCAAACAGGAUUAGAUACCCCUGGUAGUCCGCACAGUAAACGAUGAAUACUCGCGAUUUGCGAUACACAGUAAGUCGCCAAGCGAAAGCGUUAAGUAUUCCACCUGGGGAGUACGCCGGCAAGGGUGCAACUCAAAGGAAUUGACGG